rnacentral:rRNA from 1 species
UACGUAGGGUGCGAGCGUUAAUCGGAAUUACUGGGCGUAAAGCGUGCGCAGGCGGCUUUGCAAGACAGAUGUGAAAUCCCCGGGCUCAACCUGGGAACUGUAUUUGUGACUGCAAGGCUAGAGUACGGCAGAGGGGGAUGGAAUUCCGCGUGUAGCAGUGAAAUGCGUAGAUAUGCGGAGGAACACCAAUGGCGAAGGCAAUCCCCUGGGCCUGUACUGACGCUCAUGCACGAAAGCGUGGGGAGCAAACAGG